UUUUGAAAAAUUUCAGAAAAUGAUUUCACAAAAAAAAAGAGUGUUCAUGUAGUUGCAUUACAUGUAGGAUCGAGUCUAGAGUGUUUCGUUUAGGAUUGUUGCAUAUGCAUAGGGGAUAAUGAUGAGAUAGCCUUGUAAGCAUUUUGGUUCACCAAAUAAGCUCAGUGCCCUCGUUGUCAGUUGUUUGAUGCGUAGUCAUUGAAAUUGCAGUAAAACUGCACCAUGCCUAGAUUGCUCUGCUCGACCACACUGUCAUGAUGUGAUACCAUUCCCUAUCAAUUUGAACCUGAAUCUGAUCUUUAAUUAUCAUGUCUGCAUCAAAUUUGAACUCAUGGAUACCCUAAAAUACUUGGAUUUUCUUAUUCAUUUUGAUCACUCUUGUUAAUACAAGUAGCUGACUCUCCUUAUUAGAGCAGUUAACCCGAACCCAAACCUAGACUUUCUUUCAAGCCCUAUAUCACUUGUGAGUGUUUGUGAGGUCUUAUUCCGAUUAAGCUUGGUAGAAAGUGUUAGGUUCGUAAUGAUAGAGAUAGUGUCUCAUGUAGUUCUAGUUCGCAUUUUUCGGACUAGAUAGGACUAGGUGGGCGCUUAUACUUUGGGUUGGGAUGUGUUAAAAAGAAAAAAGGGGUUGAUUCAUUGAUGAGAAAAGGCAAAGGACUCUAGGUGAGUAAGCUAAAGAAGCAGAAAAAGUCUAGUAAAGGUUUUGAGAUUUGUAAAGAAAAGAAAGAGUUCUUGUUAGCUAUUUGAGAUGGGCAAAAGCCCUUGGUUUUAAAAUGUUAAAAACAGGAACCUUAGUAGUUAAAGAAAUCCAAAUCCGCUAGAUGUAACAAA
rnacentral:sRNA from 1 species